UACAGAGGUCUCAAGCGUUGUUCGGAUUCAUUGGGCGUAAAGGGUGCGUAGGUGGUGAGGUAAGUCUAAUGUGAAAUCUCCGAGCUUAACUCGGAAACUGCAUCGGAUACUAUCUCGCUCGAGGGUUGGAGGGGAGACUGGAAUACUUGGUGUAGCAGUGAAAUGCGUAGAUAUCAAGUGGAACACCAGUGGCGAAGGCGAGUCUCUGGACAACUCCUGACACUGAGGCACGAAAGCUAGGGGAGCAAACAGG
rnacentral:rRNA from 1 species